CCUACGGGGAGCAGCAGUGAGGAAUAUUGGUCAAUGGGCGAGAGCCUGAACCAGCCAAGUCGCGUGAAGGAUGAAGGAUCUAUGGUUUGUAAACUUCUUUUAUAUGGGAAUAGAGUGAGGGACGUGUUCCUUUUUGUAUGUACCAUAUGAAUAAACAUCGGCUAACUCCGUGCCAGCAGCCGCGGUAAUACGGAGGAUGCGAGCGUUAUCCGGAUUUAUUGGGUUUAAAGGGUGCGUAGGUGGUGAAUUAAGUCAGCGGUGAAAGUUUGGGGCUCAACCAUAAAAUUGCCGUUGAAACUGGUUGCCUUGAGUAUAUUGGAGGUAGGCGGAAUGCGUGGUGUAGCGGUGAAAUGCAUAGAUAUCACGCAGAACUCCGAUUGCGAAGGCAGCUUACCAACCUAUAACUGACACUGAAGCACGAAAGCGCGGGGAUCAAACAGGAUUAGAUACCCUGGUAGUC
rnacentral:rRNA from 1 species